CGUGUAGGCGGUCAAGUAAGUGGAAUGUGAAAUGCCCCGGCUCACCCGGGGAUCUGCAUCCCAAACUGCUUGGCUCGAGUAUGGGAGAGGAUGAGGGAAUUCCUGGUGUAGCGGUGAAAUGCGUAGAUAUCAGGAGGAACACCGGUGGCGAAAGCGCUCAUCUGGCCCAAUACUGACGCUGAGGCGCGAAAGCUAGGGAGCAAACG
rnacentral:rRNA from 1 species